CGUCAACGCAAGGAGGCAGACAUGGGACGUACAUACCCCCUCAAUCUCCUGGUAGUCGGUGCUGCAUUUGCAUUCAUAGCCUCGAUGCUCUUCAUCUAGGCCAAAAGACUACCGGUCGUAUCUUGCAUCCAUGAACGUUUGAUAUGGACCUGAAUUUCGAAAGGCGCAUGUUCCCCGGAACAUGCGCCUU
rnacentral:sRNA from 1 species